AAGAAGCUGGCGCUCAACGAGGAAGAAUAAAUCCUCCUGCCGUGAAGUUAACACCAGCACAACGUGUGUCUCUUCUGUUUAUUAUCACAGGUAUGGCAAGUACUAGAUGAAAAAGUCCAGGACAUGAAGGUUUUACACACAUGAAGGUUGUCAGACCCCGGAUCAGAGCAACGAGACCAGACGAUCCCCGUCAACAGCUAGAGAAGCAAAUCAGCAGAGGAGCAGGACCACAGCCUGACCUGUCAGCCGACAGACCUACUUUGACACUAAAGAGCUAGGAAACCCUGUGCAGAGUUUUUAUUCCUUUUUUGUACAUAUGUUGUUUAUACUAAUAUUGUUAUAUAUAUAUAUAU